UCUGACUGAGAUGUACACACUAAGCCCACACCACCUUCAGUUUUUGUAAUGAAAGACUGAAUUUAAUUCUUUCUACUAUACAGACUGUGACUGGACACUUCUACAAAUUACAAUACAUAAAAACGUGUUAGGUGCAAUUUGCCAGGCCUCAGAUCUUCAAGGAACUCUCCUGGUACUUGUUGACUGUCCUCAGGAAAAAUUGAGUUGUAUUAUAUUCCUUCAGAAACAUGGGCAAGCAUUUUACUGAAGAGCCUAACUAAAUAAAAGGGAAAGAAAGAGAACUUGUGAAGAAAUAGAAAGGACCAUUAACACAUAUAUCUGCAUACCACAGCAGGAAUUGAAAUUCAUCAUCAACAUCCAGGUAUUCACUUUACCUGACUAAUCUUAAUAUGACAAGCUCCAGUUUGGAGAAUUGUGUAUGAGAAUCUACACAAUCAGAAGGGACUUUCUAAACUGAAGCAAGACAUGAUACAGAACAGAAUA